rnacentral:snRNA from 1 species
AUCUUUGCACAGUGGCAGUAUCAUAGCCAAUGAGGUUUAUCUGAGGCGCGAUUGUUGCUAAUUGAAAAACCCGA